GCCUUCUUAGCUCAGUUGGUAGAGCUUCUGAUUUGUAAUCAGAUGGUCGUAGGUUCGAGUCCUAUAGAAGGCU
rfam:Porphyromonas sp. HMSC065F10 Porphyromonas_spHMPREF2890-1.0_Cont934.2, whole genome shotgun sequence.